GUACGUACAAGCAGUGGGAGCCUCUUAAUGGGGUGACUGCGUACCUUUUGUAUAAUGGGUCAGCGACUUAUAUUCUGUAGCAAGGUUAACCGAAUAGGGGAGCCGAAGGGAAACCGAGUCUUAACUGGGCGUUAAGUUGCAGGGUAUAGACCCGAAACCCGGUGAUCUAGCCAUGGGCAGGUUGAAGGUUGGGUAACACUAACUGGAGGACCGAACCGACUAAUGUUGAAAAAUUAGCGGAUGACUUGUGGCUGGGGGUGAAAGGCCAAUCAAACCGGGAGAUAGCUGGUUCUCCCCGAAAGCUAUUUAGGUAGCGCCUCGUGAAUUCAUCUCCGGGGGUAGAGCACUGUUUCGGCAAGGGGGUCAUCCCGACUUACCAACCCGAUGCAAACUGCGAAUACCGGAGAAUGUUAUCACGGGAGACACACGGCGGGUGCUAACGUCCGUCGUGAAGAGGGAAACAACCCAGACCGCCAGCUAAGGUCCCAAAGUCAUGGUUAAGUGGGAAACGAUGUGGGAAGGCCCAGACAGCCAGGAUGUUGGCUUAGAAGCAGCCAUCAUUUAAAGAAAGCGUAAUAGCUCACUGGUCGAGUCGGCCUGCGCGGAAGAUGUAACGGGGCUAAACCAUGCACCGAAGCUGCGGCAGCGACACUAUGUGUUGUUGGGUAGGGGAGCG
rnacentral:rRNA from 1 species